GAGUUUGAUCAUGGCUCAGAACGUACGCUGGCGGCACGCCUAACACAUGCAAGUCGAACGAAGUAGCAAUACUUAGUGGCAGACGGGUGAGUAACAUGUGGGUAUCUACCCUUUGGCCUGGAAUAACACGAGGAAACUUGUGCUAAUACCGGAUAAGUCUUUACGGAGAAAGCUUUAUGCACCAUUGGAUGAGCCCGCACUUGAUUAGUUUGUUGGUAGGGUAAUGGCCUACCAAGACUAUGAUCAAUAGCUGAUUUGAGAGGAUGAUCAGCCACAUUGGGACUGAGACACGGCCCAAACUCCUACGGGAGGCAGCAGUGGGGAAUCUUGCACAAUGGAGGAAACUCUGAUGCAGCGAUGCCGCGUGAGUGAAGAAGGCCUUUGGGUUGUAAAGCUCUUUCGUCGGGGAAGAAAAUGACUGUACCCGAAUAAGAAGGUCCGGCUAACUUCGUGCCAGCAGCCGCGGUAAUACGAAGGGACCUAGCGUAGUUCGGAAUUACUGGGCUUAAAGAGUUCGUAGGUGGUUGAAAAAGUUGGUGGUGAAAUCCCAGAGCUUAACUCUGGAACUGCCAUCAAAACUUUUCAGCUAGAGUAUGAUAGAGGAAAGCAGAAUUUCUAGUGUAGAGGUGAAAUUCGUAGAUAUUAGAAAGAAUACCAAUUGCGAAGGCAGCUUUCUGGAUCAUUACUGACACUGAGGAACGAAAGCAUGGGUAGCGAAGAGGAUUAGAUACCCUCGUAGUCCAUGCCGUAAACGAUGUGUGUUAGACGUUGGAAAUUUAUUUUCAGUGUCGCAGGGAAACCGAUAAACACACCGCCUGGGGAGUACGACCGCAAGGUUAAAACUCAAAUGAAUUGACGGGGACCCGCACAAGCGGUGGAGCAUGUGGUUUAAUUCGAUGCAACGCGAAAAACCUUACCUAUGCUUGACAUACUUGGAAUACUUUGUAAUGAAGUAGUGCCUUCGGGAGCCAAGAUACAGGUGCUGCAUGGCUGUCGUCAGCUCGUGUCGUGAGAUGUUCCGUUAAGUCGGAUAACGAGCGCAACCCUUACCCUUAUUUGCCAGCGAUUCGGUCGGGAACUAUAAGGGGACUGCCGGUGAUAAACCGGAGGAAGGUGAGGACGACGUCAAGUCAUCAUGGCCCUUACGCAUAGGGCUACACACGUGCUACAAUGGAGAAUACAGACGGACGCUAAGCCGCGAGGUGGUGCCAAUCCUAGAAAAUUCUUCGUAGUCCGGAUUGGAGUCUGCAACUCGACUCCAUGAAGUCGGAAUCGCUAGUAAUCGCGAAUCAGCAUGUCGCGGUGAAUACGUUCUCGGGUCUUGUACACACCGCCCGUCAUACCAUGGAAGUGGAUUGCACCAGAAGUAGAUAGUCUAACCUUAGGGAGGGCGUUUACCACGGUGUGCUUCAUGACUAGGGUAAAGUCGUAACAAGGUAACC
rnacentral:rRNA from 1 species